UAGGGAAUCUUCGGCAAUGGGGGGAACCCUGACCGAGCAACGCCGCGUGAGUGAAGAAGGUUUUCGGAUCGUAAAGCUCUGUUGUUAAGGAAGAACGAGUGUGAGAAUGGAAAGUUCAUGCUGUGACGGUACUUAACCAGAAAGGGACGGCUAACUACGUGCCAGCAGCCGCGGUAAUACGUAGGUCCCGAGCGUUGUCCGGAUUUAUUGGGCGUAAAGCGAGCGCAGGCGGUUAGAAAAGUCUGAAGUGAAAGGCAGUGGCUCAACCAUUGUAGGCUUUGGAAACUGUUUAACUUGAGUGCAGAAGGGGAGAGUGGAAUUCCAUGUGUAGCGGUGAAAUGCGUAGAUAUAUGGAGGAACACCGGUGGCGAAAGCGGCUCUCUGGUCUGUAACUGACGCUGAGGCUCGAAAGCGCGGGGAGCGAACAGG
rnacentral:rRNA from 1 species